rnacentral:rRNA from 1 species
GGCGAACGCUGGCGGCGUGCUUAACACAUGCAAGUCGAACGAUGAAGCCGGAGCUUGCUCUGGUGAAUUAGUGGCGAACGGGUGAGUAACACGUGAGUAACCUGCCCUGGACUCUGGGAUAACUGCUAGAAAUGGUAGCUAAUACCGGAUACGACCCUCGGAGGCAUCUCCUGGGGGUGGAAAGAAUUUCGGUCAAGGAUGGACUCGCGGCCCAUCAGCUAGUUGGUGAGGUAAAGGCCCACCAAGGCGACGACGGGUAGCCGGCCUGAGAGGGUGACCGGGCACACUGGGACUGAGGCACGGCCAGUGCUCCUACGGGAGGCAGCGGUGGGGAAUAUUGCACGAUGGGCGGAAGGGUGAAGCAGCAACGCCGCGUGAGGGAUGACGGCCUUCGGGGUGUAAACCUCUUUUAGCAGGGAAGAAGCGAAAGUGACGGUACCUGCAGAAAAAGCACCGGCUAACUACGUGCCAGCCGCCGCGGUAA